CUACUAUAUUUAAAAGAAUAAUCAGGGAUGCAUAAUGCUAAGUGUGUAUGAGACUUAGAAAUAUACAUUAAGAUGUACAUGCUGGCAGCUUUGUAUAAUAUCUAUACUCAUGCAGCAGAGGGAUCACACGUUUGAGACAGGAAGGGAGAAGUGUAAUAGUCCAGAACCUCACUAGCAACUAUCCUCAAGGAGCCCAGCAACCAGAGACCCAGCUGUUUCAGCUCCGUGUAAAUCGAGAAGUGUGUCUGUCUAGUCAGUUUCUUUAAUCAAUAGACAACAUCCUUUUUAUACAGUCACUGGUUCUGAUGUUCCUCUUUUCUCUCUCCCAAGAUUGCUCCAGACCACGUAGUUCCUGCUCCAGAGGAAUGCUAUGUGUACAGUCCAUUGGGCUCUGCCUAUAAACUUAAGAGUUACACUGAAGGCUAUCGUAAAAACACCAGCUUAGUUACUAUUUUUAUGAUCUGGAAUACCAUGAUGGGGACAUCUAUACUAAGUAUUCCUUGGGGCAUAAAACAGGCUGGAUUUACUACUGGGAUGUGUGUCAUCGUGCUGAUGGGCCUUCUAACACUUUACUGCUGCUAUAGAGUGGUGAAGUCCCGGAGUAUGAUAGUUACAUCGGACACAACUACCUGGGAAUAUCCAGAUGUCUGCAAACAUUACUUUGGCUCUUUUGGGCAAUGGUCAAGUCUCCUUUUCUCCUUGGUGUCUCUCAUUGGAGCAAUGAUAGUUUAUUGGGUGCUUAUGUCUAAUUUUCUUUUUAAUACUGGAAAGUUUAUUUUUAGUAAGUAUUGAUCCAGUCUUUAACACAGUUACUCUCAAAUAUCAUUGUAAUAUUUUAGUUCUAGCCACACACUUUUAUAUGUAAAGUAUUAUAAAUAUGGAUAAUGUACCAUUGUAAUAUUUUCACUCUAGCCUCACAUUUUUAUAUAUAAAGUAUUAUAAAUAUGGAUAAUG
rnacentral:lncRNA from 1 species